AAGUCGAGCGGUAGAGAGAAGCUUGCUUCUCUUGAGAGCGGCGGACGGGUGAGUAAUGCCUAGGAAUCUGCCUGGUAGUGGGGGAUAACGUUCGGAAACGGACGCUAAUACCGCAUACGUCCUACGGGAGAAAGCAGGGGACCUUCGGGCCUUGCGCUAUCAGAUGAGCCUAGGUCGGAUUAGCUAGUUGGUGAGGUAAUGGCUCACCAAGGCGACGAUCCGUAACUGGUCUGAGAGGAUGAUCAGUCACACUGGAACUGAGACACGGUCCAGACUCCUACGGGAGGCAGCAGUGGGGAAUAUUGGACAAUGGGCGAAAGCCUGAUCCAGCCAUGCCGCGUGCGUGAAGAAGGUCUUCGGAUUGUAAAGCACUUUAAGUUGGGAGGAAGAGUUGUAGAUUAAUACUCUGCAAUUUUGACGUUACCGACAGAAUAAGCACCGGCUAACUCUGUGCCAGCAGCCGCGGUAAUACAGAGGGUGCAAGCGUUAAUCGGAAUUACUGGGCGUAAAGCGCGCGUAGGUGGUUUGUUAAGUUGGAUGUGAAAUCCCCGGGCUCUACCUGGGAACUGCAUUCAAAACUGACUGACUAGAGUAUGGUAGAGGGUGGUGGAAUUUCCUGUGUAGCGGUGAAAUGCGUAGAUAUAGGAAGGAACACCAGUGGCGAAGGCGACCACCUGGACUAAUACUGACACUGAGGUGCGAAAGCGUGGGGAGCAAACAGGAUUAGAUACCCUGGUAGUCCACGCCGUAAACGAUGUCAACU
rnacentral:rRNA from 1 species